rnacentral:rRNA from 1 species
UACGUAGGGUGCAAGCGUUAAUCGGAAUACUGGGCGUAAAGCGUGCGCAGGCGGUUAUGUAAGACAGAUGUGAAAUCCCCCGGGCUCAACCUGGGAACUGCAUUUGUGACCGCAUAGCUAGAGUACGGUAGAGGGGGAUGGAAUUCCGCGUGUAGCAGUGAAAUGCGUAGAUAUGCGGAGGAACACCGAUGGCGAAGGCAAUCCCCUGGACCUGUACUGACGCUCAUGC